AGAAUCUUCCGCAAUGCGCGCAAGCGUGACGGAGCGACGCCGCGUGGGUGAUGAAGGCCUUCGGGUUGUAAAGCCCUGUCAGCUGCCAAGAAUUUCGGGUCGUGAAUAGCGAUCCCGUUUGACUAAGCAGCAGAGGAAGAACCGGCGAAAUCCGUGCCCGCAGCCGCGGUAAUACGUAUGGUGCAAACGUUGUUCGGAAUCACUGGGCUUAAAGCGGGCGUAGGCGGUUCGGUAAGUCUGUUGUGAAAGCCCUCGGCUCAACCGAGGAAUUGCAACGGAUACUACCGGGCUAGAGUGCAGGAGGGAAGAGUGGAAUUCCUGGUGGAGCGGUGAAAUGCGUAGAUAUCAGGAGGAACGCCGGUGGCGAAAGCGACUCUCUGGCCUGUUACUGACGCUGAGGCCCGAAAGCUAGGGGAGCGAAC
rnacentral:rRNA from 1 species